UACGUAGGGUGCAAGCGUUGUCCGGAAUUAUUGGGCGUAAAGAGCUCGUAGGCGGUCUGUCGCGUCGGCUGUGAAAACUCGGGGCUCAACCCCGAGCCUGCAGUCGAUACGGGCAGACUAGAGUGCGUGUAGGGGAGACUGGAAUUCCUGGUGUAGCGGUGAAAUGCGCAGAUAUCAGGAGGAACACCGGUGGCGAAGGCGGGUCUCUGGGCAGUAACUGACGCUGGAGGAGCGAAGCGUGGGGAGCGAACAGG
rnacentral:rRNA from 1 species